AAGGUUUUAAGUUAUUAAACUAAUAGCCUUCAAAGUUGUCAUAAAGAGUUUUUAAUCUCUUAAACCUUA
rnacentral:tRNA from 1 species